rnacentral:rRNA from 1 species
AACGAACGCUGGCGGCAUGCCUAACACAUGCAAGUCGAACGAGACCUUCGGGUCUAGUGGCGCACGUGUGCGUAACGCGUGGGAACCUGCCCUUAGGUUCGGAAUAACUCCCCGAAAGGGGUGCUAAUACCGGAUAAUGUCUUCGGACCAAAGAUUUAUCGCCUUUGGAUGGGCCCGCGUUGGAUUAGCUAGUUGGUAGGGUAAAAGCCUACCAAGGCGACGAUCCAUAGCUGGUCUGAGAGGAUGAUCAGCCACACUGGGACUGAGACACGGCCCAGACUCCUACGGGAGGCAGCAGUGGGGAAUAUUGGACAAUGGGCGAAAGCCUGAUCCAGCAAUGCCGCGUGAGUGAUGAAGGCCUUAGGGUUGUAAAGCUCUUUUAGCCGGGAUGAUAAUGACAGUACCGGGAGAAUAAGCUCCGGCUAACUCCGUG